rfam:Zea mays cultivar B73 chromosome 7, whole genome shotgun sequence.
UCCUAUGAUGGCAUGAAUCUUUGAGGCCUGAUUAUUCUCAUGAAGACAACUAUAAGCAUAACUGAGCUC